CAGUAGCCGCGGUAAUACGUAGGUGGCAAGCGUUGUCCGGAAUUAUUGGGCGUAAAGGGCUCGCAGGCGGUUUCUUAAGUCUGAUGUGAAAGCCCCCGCUCAACCGGGGAGGGUCAUUGGAAACUGGGAAACUUGAGUGCAGAAGAGGAGAGUGGAAUUCCACGUGUAGCGGUGAAAUGCGUAGAGAUGUGGAGGAACACCAGUGGCGAAGGCGACUCUCUGGUCUGUAACUGACGCUGAGGAGCGAAAGCGUGGGGAGCGAACAGGAUUAGAUACCCGGGUAGUCCCUGUCUCUUAUACA
rnacentral:rRNA from 1 species